rnacentral:rRNA from 1 species
UACGAAGGGGGCUAGCGUUGUUCGGAAUCACUGGGCGUAAAGGGCGCGUAGGCGGCUUUAUAAGUCGGGGGUGAAAGCCUAGUGGCUCAACCACCAGAAUUGCCUUCGAUACUGUAGAGCUUGAGACCGGAAGAGGUAAGUGGAACUGCGAGUGUAGAGGUGAAAUUCGUAGAUAUUCGCAAGAACACCAGUGGCGAAGGCGGCUUACUGGUCCGGUUCUGACGCUGAGGCGACGAAAGCGGUGGGGAGCGAACAGG